rnacentral:pre_miRNA from 1 species
CAAGUACGCCCUCCGUCCGGAAUUACUUGUCAUCAAAAUGGAUGUGUCUAGAACUAAAAUACAUCUAGAUACAUCCAUUUCAAUGACAAGUAUUUUCGGACGGAGGGAGUACAAG